UUUAUUUGAUAGUACCUUCUACUUGGAUACCUGUGGUAAUUCUAGAGCUAAUACAUGCUAAAAACCCCGACUUCGGAAGGGGUGUAUUUAUUAGAUAAAAAACCAAUGCCCUCCGGGGCUCCUUGGUGAUUCAUAAUAACUCAACGAAUCGCAUGGCCUUGCGCCGGCGAUGGUUCAUUCAAAUUUCUGCCCUAUCAACUUUCGAUGGUAGGAUAGUGGCCUACCAUGGUUUCUACGGGUAACGGGGAAUUAGGGUUCGAUUCCGGAAAGGGAGCCUGAAAAACGGCUACCACAUCCAAGGAAGGCAGCAGGCGCGCAAAUUACCCAAUCCCGACACGGGGAGGUAGUGACAAUAAAUACUGAUGCAGAGCUCUUUCGGGCUUUGCAAUCGGAAUGAGAACAGUGUAAACACCUUAACGAGGAACAAUUGGAGGGCAAGUCUGGUGCCAGCAGCCGCGGUAAUUCCAGCUCCAAUAGCGUAUAUUAAAGUUGUUGCAGUUAAAAAGCUCGUAGUUGAAACUUGGGCCUGGCUGGCCGGUCCGCCUAACCGCGUGCACUGGUCCGGCCGGGCCUUUCCUUCUGGGGAGCCGCAUGCCCUUCAUUGGGUGUGCCGGGGAACCAGGACUUUUACUUUGAAAAAAUUAGAGUGUUCAAAGCAGGCCUUUGCUCGGAUACAUUAGCAUGGAAUAAUGGAAUAGGACGUGCGGUUCUAUUUUGUUGGUUUCUAGGACCGCCG
rnacentral:rRNA from 2 species